rnacentral:rRNA from 1 species
UACGGAGGGAGCUAGCGUUGUCCGGAUUUACUGGGCGUAAAGAGCGCGCAGGCGGUCGGAUAAGUCGAAUGUGAAAGCCCCCGGCUCAACUGGGGAGGGUCAUUCGAUACUGUUCGACUCGAAGGCAGGAGAGGGAAGUGGAAUUCCCGGUGUAGUGGUGAAAUGCGUAGAUAUCGGGAGGAACACCAGUGGCGAAGGCGACUUCCUGGCCUGUUCUUGACGCUGAGGCGCGAAAGCUAGGGGAGCAAACGGG